GAUCGGUUAGUCAAGCGGCCAAGACACCACCCUUUCACGGUGGUAACACGAGUUCAAAUCUCGUACCGAUCA
rnacentral:tRNA from 1 species